GGUGCUUUGGGGGAGGACUGCCAUGUCGAAAGCAUAGGGGUUCUCGGUCCUCAAAGGUGAUCUGUUGCGCAGGUCAUUCUCCAGUUCGCUAUGUUGAAGGUCUUGACACAGUGAGAGAUGCUCUGCAGCCACCUGAACACUUCAUGUUGCCGCCAUCCUCUUGUUGCUGGGAGAGAGCAUCCAACCAGAAGCUGCUCAUAGGAAGAAAUUCCAGGGGACGUUUCAUCAUGGUGGGGAAAACGUGACAGGCUGACUGAGUACCACAUCUUGUCACCUAUCAGCAGCAGCAAGAGGGAGGUAGUUUUGGCAAGGGGGCCUGGGGCUAUGACACCCCAAGACCUGCCUCAAGUGACACACCUCCUUUAGCAAGGUUCUGCCUCCCCCCAAAAUGUCACCAGCUGAGGAAAAAGCAAAACA